GGGCCUUUAGCUCAGCUGGUAGAGCGCGUCCUUCGCAUGGACGAGGUCACGGGUUCGAGUCCCGUAAGGUCCA
rnacentral:tRNA from 1 species